GCUUGGAGCCGCAGGGCUGAAUCCCGCGCGGCUCAGAGAUGGGUUUCUGGACUCGCGAAGCAGCUGCAGCAAGGCAUCACUCACUGUAUAAGUAUUUCCAUUUCUGAGAGCAAAAGGAAGAACUUAAGCGGGCGGCACUUGGAGUGUAAAUUGCUUUGUAGUAUUUAAAGGCAGAAUGGAUCCUGGGCAGCCGAGCUGCAACAAACCAGCAGGACUUCCUGUGAAAUCAUGACCGCCAUGUGCUCUUUCAGCCUCCAUCAAUUCCUACCUCUAAGCACUUGAGAGCCAAAGCAGACCACAGGAAACCACAGACUCAAACUAAACAUCAGCUUUUCCUGGCUCUCAAGUCUGCUGGUCCCUGAACUAAAACACACAUUAUCAACUCUACUGGUUCUUAGUCCUUUGGAGUCAGACUGGAACUACACCAUUGACUCUUCUGGAACUCCAGCUUACUGACUACAGAUCUUGGAACUUUUCAGCUUCCACAACCAUAAUGAAAGCCAAGCAUAUUCCAUCAUUUUCUAGAACCUAGAUAGAGCACAUACAGGAACUUGCAAAAUAAG
rnacentral:lncRNA from 1 species